CGCCGGCAUGUCAGGGACGCCGCGCCGACCCCCGCUCCCCGGCGUCCGCCAGCUGAGCGGUCUCCCCGGCCUUGCGCUCCUGCUGCUGGCGCUGCCCCUCGUGGCAAAGGCCGAUGCCCAGGCCGAUGCCCAGGCCGAAGCCGAGGCCGACUGCCCAUGCGAGGAGCCAACGCUGUGCCGGCCCAUUCGCCACCACCCCGACCACGAGGUCUUUGUGUUUGAUGUUGGAUACAAAACUUGGAAAUAUUAUGAUUGGUCACAGAUUACAACUGUGGCAACUUUUGGAAAAUAUGACUCCGAACUUAUGUGCUACGCUCAUUCAAAAGGAGCCAGAGUAGUGCUUAAAGGAGAUGUAUCCGUAAAGGAUAUCAUUGAUCCUACUUUCAGAGCAUCUUGGAUAGCUCAGAAACUUAUUUUGGCCAGAAAACAAUAUAUGGAUGGAAUUAAUAUAGACAUAGAGCAAGAAGUUAAUUGUUCAUCACCAGAAUACGAUGCAUUAACUGCUUUAGUCAAAGAAACCGCAGAUGCUUUCCACCGUGAAAUUGAGGGAUCACAGGUCACCUUUGAUGUAGCUUGGUCUCCGAAGAACAUAGACGGAAGGUGCUAUAAUUAUACUGGAAUUGCAGAUGCUUGUGACUUUGUCUUUGUGAUGUCAUAUGAUGAACAAAGUCAGGUCUGGUCAGACUGUAUUGCAGCAGCCAAUGCUCCCUAUAUUCAGACAUUAACUGGAUAUGAUGACUACAUCAGCAUGGGCAUUAACCCUAGGAAACUUGUCAUGGGUGUUCCCUGGUAUGGUUACGAUUACACUUGCCUGAAACUGUCUGCGGAUGAUGUUUGUACCAUUGCAAAAGUCCCUUUCCGGGGGGCUCCUUGUAGUGAUGCUGCUGGACAUCAGGUGCCCUAUAAAGUGAUCAUGAAGCAAGUAAAUAGUUCUAUUUCUGGAAGCCAGUGGAAUGAAGAUCAGCAGGCUCCUUAUUAUAAAUAUAAAGAUCCUGCUGGCCGUUUUCAUCAAGUGUGGUACGAUAACCCUAGAAGCAUUGCUUUAAAAGCAGCAUAUGUAAACCAGCAUGGCUUACGGGGCAUUGGCAUGUGGAAUGCAAACUCUCUGGACUACUCUGGACAUCCUGUAGCUAAAUGGCAAACUGAAGAAAUGUGGAAAGUGUUAAAACCAAAGCUGUCACAGAGAUGAGCAUCUUUUGUAUGAGCAUCUUUUGUCAAACUAUUAAGAUUUAGAAAAAUGAUCUUUGUUAAUGGAUCUAGUUUCUUGAAGAGAUAAAUACAUUAUAACACAUGUAUACAUUUUGGUCGUGUUGCUAUAUGCUUUUCGAUACUAGAAUAUCCAAAAAAGAGAUGAAGAAUUAAGAAAUGCUUUGAUUGUUUGAAUUUGAAAAAUACAUACAUAUUAAUAUGUUUAGUGCUCCAGCAACACAAAGGAGAGAAGAUUAUUGAACAAAUGAAACAAGGAAAGGAAGAAAGAAAAUAUCUGGAAAGAAUUAGAGAAGAACUAAUUUGAAAAAGUUGAAAGACUGAACAAAGAAAAUUGAAGCGAUAUCAUGGUGAAGUUUAUUAUGCAUCUUUUACUGCUGUAAAAGUAAGCUUAAGUUUUAUAGAAUUGAUGCUUUGGGAGUAAAUAAUAAAGUUAUAAUUAAUGUUUAUUUCACUGUUAUGGCUUGAGUGGUACACUAUUGCACUAAGUUGAAUAUAGAAAACACAAAUUCAUUGUUCAAGUCUUUUAUACAGUAAACACACAUGCUUUACAUUGGGUUUUUUAAAAUUAUAAUUCAGAAGUUUGUUAUAACUUACAUUCAUUUAUUUGUUCAUUCCUUCUAUUCAUUUAUUAAAUAAUUAUUUAUUAUGUGCCUGAUGAAUCCAGCCACAGU